rnacentral:rRNA from 1 species
GUUUGCCUACGGGGGGCAGCAGUGGGGGAUAUUGCACAAUGGGGGGAACCCUGAUGCAGCGACGCCGCGUGGGUGAAGAAGCGCCUCGGCGCGUAAAGCCCUGUCAGCAGGGAAGAAAAUGACGGUACCUGAAGAAGAAGCCCCGGCUAACUACGUGCCAGCAGCCGCGGUAAUACGUAGGGGGCAAGCGUUAUCCGGAUUUACUGGGUGUAAAGGGGGCGCAGACGGCGAUGCAAGCCAGGAGUGAAAGCCCGGGGCCCAACCCCGGGACUGCUCUUGGAAACUGGAGGACUGGAGAGCAGGAG